rnacentral:rRNA from 1 species
UACGUAGGGUGCAAGCGUUGUCCGGAAUUAUUGGGCGUAAAGAGCUCGUAGGCGGUUUGUCUCGUCUGGUGUGAAAAUCCAGGGCUUAACCCUGGACCUGCAUCGGGUACGGGCAGACUAGAGUGCGGUAGGGGAGAUCGGAAUUCCUGGUGUAGCGGUGAAAUGCGCAGAUAUCAGGAGGAACACCGGUGGCGAAGGCGGAUCUCUGGGCCGUAACUGACGCUGAGGAGCGAAAGCAUGGGGAGCGAACAGG